GAUGAACGCUGGCGGCGUGCCUAAUACAUGCAAGUCGAGCGAACGGACGAGAAGCUUGCUUCUCUGAUGUUAGCGGCGGACGGGUGAGUAACACGUGGAUAACCUACCUAUAAGACUGGGAUAACUUCGGGAAACCGGAUCUAAUACCGGAUGAUAUUUUGAACCGCAUGGUUCAAAAGUGAAAGACGGUCUUGCUGUCACUUAUAGAUGGAUCCGCGCUGCAUUAGCUAGUUGGUAGGGUAACGGCUUACCAAGGCAACGAUGCAUAGCCGACCUGAGAGGGGGAUCGGCCACACUGGAACUGAGACACGGUCCAGACUCCUACGGGAGGCAGCAGUAGGGAAUCUUCCGCAAUGGGCGAAAGCCUGACGGAGCAACGCCGCGUGAGUGAUGAAGGUCUUCGGAUCGUAAAACUCUGUUAUUAGGGAAGAACAUAUGUGUAAGUAACUGUGCACAUCUUGACGGUACCUAAUCAGAAAGCCCCGGCUAACUACGUG
rnacentral:rRNA from 1 species